rnacentral:rRNA from 1 species
CCUACGGGUGGCAGCAGUGAGGAAUAUUGGUCAAUGGACGGAAGUCUGAACCAGCCAUGCCGCGUGCAGGAAGACGGCUCUAUGAGUUGUAAACUGCUUUUGUACAAGGGUAAACCUGAAUACGUGUAUUCAGCUGAAAGUACUUUACGAAUAAGGAUCGGCUAACUCCGUGCCAGCAGCCGCGGUAAUACGGAGGAUCCAAGCGUUAUCCGGAUUUAUUGGGUUUAAAGGGUGCGUAGGCGGAUUGAUAAGUUAGAGGUGAAAUGUCCGAGCUCAACUCGGGAACUGCCUCUAAUACUGUUGGUCUAGAGAGUAGAUGCGGUAGGCGGAAUGUAUGGUGUAGCGGUGAAAUGCUUAGAGAUCAUACAGAACACCGAUUGCGAAGGCAGCUUACCAAUCUAUAUCUGACGUUGAGGCACGAAAGCGUGGGGAGCAAACAGGAUUAGAUACCCCAGUAGUC